rnacentral:tRNA from 1 species
ACCAGCAUAGCUUAGUAGGCAAAGCAACCGACCGAUAAUCGGUAGUCCUUGGUUCAAUUCCAAGUGUUGGUACUA